rnacentral:rRNA from 1 species
AUUGAACGCUGGCGGCAUGCCUUACACAUGCAAGUCGAACGGCAGCACGGGGGCAACCCUGGUGGCGAGUGGCGAACGGGUGAGUAAUGCAUCGGAACGUGCCCUGAAGUGGGGGAUAACGUAGCGAAAGCUACGCUAAUACCGCAUACGAUCUAUGGAUGAAAGCGGGGGACCGUAAGGCCUCGCGCGAUUGGAGCGGCCGAUAUCAGAUUAGGUAGUUGGUGGGGUAAAGGCCUACCAAGCCGACGAUCUGUAGCUGGUCUGAGAGGACGAACAGCCACACUGGGACUGAGACACGGCCCAGACUCCUACGGGAGGCAGCAGUGGGGAAUUUUGGACAAUGGGCGCAAGCCUGAUCCAGCAAUGCCGCGUGCAGGAUGAAGGCCUUCGGGUUGUAAACUGCUUUUGUACGGAGCGAAAAGGCUCUCUCUAAUACAGGGGGCUCAUGACGGUACCGUAAGAAUAAGCACCGGCUAACUACGUGCCAGCCGCCGCCGUAAGAC